rnacentral:rRNA from 1 species
UGCCAGCAGCCGCGGUAAUACGUAAGUGGCAAACGUUGUCCGGAUUCACUGGGUGUAAAGCGCAUGUAGGCGGCUCUCUAAGUCUGAGGUGAAAUCUCUGGGCUCAACCCAGAAACGGCCUUGGAAACUGGCGAGCUUGAGGGUCAGAGGGGAAAGUGGAAUUCCGAGUGUAGGGGUGAAAUCCGUAGAUAUUCGGAGGAACACCAGUGGCGAAGGCGGCUUUCUGGACCGAUACUGACGCUGAGACGCGAAAGCGUGGGGAGCAAACAGGAUUAGAUA